AGUUUUAUUGGACUAUGGUUAUAUUACUUACGAUAAAUUCUUCAUAAAGUGAUUUAUUUUCAGAUUCCAAGUGUGCCAAGAGAGCUAUUGGUUUUACUAAGAUGUUAAUUUUUUUUACUUUCUUUUUUUAUUUUUGUUUGUUGAUAUGUUUUUUGCUAGUAAAUUUGCUCCGAUGUAUAAGUGUAGCAUGUUUUUUAAAAGCUCAAGUUAUCGAAAUGGUAUUUUGUAGAGGUUAUUUUUUGAUUUU